CAGUGGCUAGGGGGACUGGAGGGGCUGAGAGGAGAGAAAAGGGUCCCUAGUGACCAGAAAUGGAGGGGAGGAGACCUCCUGCCUGAGCCCUUCCUCACCCCCAGCUUUCACUCUUGCACUGCCCCCUGCCAUCUUCAAGGCACUGUCAUAAUUCCUGAGUUGUUCACCCCCACACUGCCAGUCCCCUGAAAGACCUGGGCAAUGCUGGAUUUGGGCAAAGCCAUCUACUUUCAUGGAGGAAGAGCAAUAACUUGAACGGAUAAAUAUGGUAACCAGCGUGGAGAUUCAGGAACUGCCCUGUAAAGCAAAGAGGGAGGCAAGGAUUUUGCUUAAUAGUCAUUGUAGAAAACAAUGAGAAUCAUCACCUGCAUUUACAUCUAAUGCAUUGAUUCUUCAGCCUCCCAACAAGAUAGAAAUGAUGGAUCCAGCUCUCCGUCAACCUUCAGCUUGACUCUCAAAAUAAUUCAUGCCAUAAACGAGCAGGAAGGUCUUGGACCACAG